CAAUAGCGUAUAUUAAAGUUGUUGCAGUUAAAAAGCUCGUAGUUGGAUUUCGGGGCAGCCUGGCUGGUCCGCCGCAAGGCGAGUACUGGUCAGCCGCCCUUCCUCUCGAAAGCCCCGACUGCUCUUUAUUGCAGUGGUCGGGUAGUUCGGGACGUUUACUUUGAAAAAAUUAGAGUGUUCAAGGCAGGCCUACGCCUGAAUACAUUAGCAUGGAAUAAUGGAAGAGGACCUCGGUCCUAUUUUGUUGGUUUCCAGGAUCGAAGUAAUGAUUAAGAGGGACAGUUGGGGGCAUUCGUAUUUAAUUGUCAGAGGUGAAAUUCUCGGAUUUAUGAAAGACGAACAACUGCGAAAGCAUUUGCCAAGGAUGUUUUCAUUAA
rnacentral:rRNA from 1 species